CUAGGAUAAUCUCUCUGUCUCAAGAUCUUCAAAUGAAUCGCAGCUGUAACGUCCCUUUUGCCAGGGAAGGCAAUAUAUUCACAGAUUCUGAGGAUUAGGAAUGAGACCUCCUUGGAGCCAUUGUUUAACCUUUCAUAGGCUGGAUAAUAUAGAUCACCAUUGGGAAUGAGCUCCAUUUGCCCACAACAGUGAUCGGCUGAUGGCUCCACCCUCUACUUAGUCGCUUCUGUUUCCUGUCCCAUGGAUUCCUCACCCCACACUAAUGCUUCCAGGAACAACUUCUCAAAUAAAUCACUUGCACGUUACUGAUGGAUCCGUCCUAAAUGCCAUCCAUCUCAAGACAGAGGCCCACAGAAGUCAAUGUAUCUUCAAGAUGGGAGUACCUGGAGAUGGCUGUAGAGACCAUGUAGCAGGAAAUGGUGACAGAGAAGAGCUGGGCCUCUGGUACCAACAUGCUUCCCCCCCGUUACAGCUAUGCGGGCUGAUAGUGACGCAAUGUGUGGUUUCAAUACUUCAUAGUGUCUUACUUCACCUCAGUAUAAAGUACUUUGAAAGCAUCAAGGAAAUGGUCCUCAAAAAAGGCUUAUCCAGUCAGGACAUCUGGUGCUGGCUCUGGAAUGAGUGGAUGAAGAUAAGGCCUUCCAGUAUGGAGGUGAUAAAAAUCAGGGAAGACAGGUAAUCACAAUGGAUGACAGACCAGGAUUCCCAGAUAUCUUGGCAUGGCUGGAACAAUGUACAGAUCAAACCAUGUAAAACUUAAUGGGUAUAAACCAACUCUUCACUUUGGUCUAAAAAAGUCCAUUUGCAUGGCUUCUAGUUAAAGGUGGACAGGCUCACUUUAGAAUCCUAUUAUAUACAAAGGAUUUAGGGGGUUUAGUUCACAAUGUGCUAAAGCCAUCUCACAGUGACCAUGGUAUGAGCUGUGUGAUUUGGUUUAAAUAUAAUAGAGAAUGAAGGACAAGGUUGAGGGUGGUGGUUACAGUCCUGCCUGAUUCUGUAGUGCUCAGGUGACCUUUGAAGAAUGAAGAAAGAAGUCAAAACCCCACACUAUUAAGACAUUGGAAGACUGGGAAUGUUUAUUUUCUGAAGAAUAAAAGAUGUAGGAAACAUGAGCUGUCUUGAUAUGUUUAAAUGGUUGUCAUAAGAAGGAAAAAUUCACAGACUUGUUCUGGGUAGGAGCUAAAGAAUGAUGUGUUUUUGCCAAUCUAAAGGUGGAAUUUUUAAACUCUGAGCUUACCGGUAUUGAAAUAAGCUAUUCCAGAGGUCAAAAGCUUCUCAUCAUUAUAUGGUCAAAUAGAGUUUGGGUCACUAUUAGAAACAAAGAUUUGAAAUGAAAUUUCAAGUAUUGGAAGAGGACUUUUUUAAACUCUUAGAGUCUAUAAUUCAAUGAUUGAGAUGUAAUUCACUGGAACCUUCAUUUAAAAAAUUUAUUUUGCUGUUCCAAUAUUAUAUGACAGGACUAAUUGAGUUCAAUAAACAUUUAUUAAAAUAUUUCCUGUAUAACAUCUUAUGCUACACACAGUCCCUAAUCUUUAGAAGUUAAACCUGAGGAAACUGCACACACAGACAUCACUGUAUACUCGCAUAAGUAGUAUAAUAAAGGAUAGUAAGGAGGGUCAGGGAGAGGAAAACAAAAAAGGCUAAUCUAGGAACAGUAUUUGGCCAGGUUUAUAUGGUAAAUGUGACCAAACAACAACAACAACAACAACAACAAAACAAAACAAGCUUGUAUUAGAAAUUGGAGAUUUAAUUUGGGGGAUAGACUGGAUUCAGUGACAUCAGUCCCAUAUCCUUUAGCUUUUCUACUUCCAGAUCUAAACUUUGACCUUUGGAGUACAGGAUAUCAUAGCGAGGUCCAACAAAGUCCUUAAUGACUAGGUUCAGGAGUUACUCAACGCAUCACUGUAUUCUAAGGCAGAGAAGUGCACACCACAAUAUUAGAAACAGUACUACUGGCUAUCUGCUAUUCUUAAAGAAACAUCACAUUCACUUUGUCAUGUUUCCUAAGCAAUGCGGUUAACCAGCAGGUGGUGAAGAUUGCAACACCCUUCUCUUGGAGAAAACUUUAUUUUCCUAGUAUUACCUCAAGUUUCUUAAAAAUGAAUAUUUCUUAUCUGGUAUGUCAUUUUCCUGGUUGAGACCAUUGUUGAACAUUUAAGAAGUCUGGACUUGGUGGCCAAACAGUUAUCUAGGCAAAGGCUCUGACUUGUUACAUAGCCAGUCCACAGAUAAACUCUUCAAUUUCUCUAGUUUCUCAUGACAGUAACUCCCACCUCAUUCAUAAUUUAAAAAUACUUAUUGAGUGCCUUCUGGGUUCUAAAGCUGUAACAGUAAGCAAGAUAGUCAUAGCCACUAACUGUUUGCAAGGCAAGGGUGUUGAAAUUGUAGUAUACUAGUGAUUAUGUGUAAAGAGAUCAGUAAAAUAUAACUAAUAUGCUGGAAACAUUAAAAAACGGUGGGGUGGGAAAUAAAGGAUUAUUUCACAAAUGCUUGUCUAGCAAUUGAUUAACCUUUUGGAGAAAAAUAAAAUAAGAACCUCAUUUUGCAAUGUAUUCCCGCUAUGGUUAGAAUAUGUUCCCUUCAAAAUUCAGGUGUGGUUGAUGUGGUAGUAUUAAGAAGUGGAGCCUUUAGGAGGUAAUUAUGACAUGAGGGCCUCUUCCUCAUAAAUGGGAUUAAAAACCUUAUAAAAUAAGCAUGGAGUGUUUGGGAACCUGCCCUUCUGUUGUAUGCCUGGUGAGGAUGCAGGAAGAAGGCCCUCACUAGACCCAGCACUUCGAUCUUGAACUUCAUAGCCUCCAGAAUGAUAAGAAAAUAAAUUUCUGUCCUUUAUAAAUUACCCUGUCUCAGGUAUUCUGUUAUAGUGGCACAAAUUGACUAAGAAAACUCCAAAAUAAUUCUUAUAUGAAUUAAAAAUUAAAUCAUAAAGAAGAAAGCACAG
rnacentral:lncRNA from 10 species